GCCGCGGUGGCCUAAUGGUUAGCGCGUUGGACUCUGAAUCGAGCAGUUCGGGUUCGAGAGCUGGCCGGGGUCA